rnacentral:rRNA from 1 species
UACGGGGGGGGCAAGCGUUGUUCGGAAUUACUGGGCGUAAAGGGCUCGUAGGCGGCCAACUAAGUCGGACGUGAAAUCCCUCGGCUUAACCGGGGAACUGCGUCCGAUACUGGAUGGCUUGAGAUUGGGAGAGGGAUGCGGAAUUCCAGGUGUAGCGGUGAAAUGCGUAGAUAUCGGUAGGAACACCAGUGGCGAAGGCGGUCUCCUGGGGCAUUCUUGACGCUGAGGCGCGAAAGCUGGGGGAGCGAACGGG